CCUCCGAGCCGCCGACCCCCUGCUCCAGCCCCCGAGCCCCAGCCCCGGCGUGACCGGCCUACACGCGCCGCAGCCGGUGACAGGUUGCACCGAAACUCACACAACGGGCCCUUUCCGUCGGGCUCGAGAAAAUGGAGUGUGGCCGACCUGUUGCCUCACAUUGGCCAAAGGGGGACCAGAAAGGAGAAAUUCCGCAGCAGGAACUUGAUUCGGCUGGCCCUGACCACAAAGGAACCGGUGUGUGUGGGUGGUGACCUGCCCCUUCUCUGGCCUUGUCAGGAGAGGCAAAUGCCUGCCCAUGGGGGGCCCCUGGCUCUAGAGCUGCCUGAGGAGCAGCGAGUGAGGGCCUGAUGGAGGAGGAGAAGAAGGGCCUUCCAGGCAGAGGCCCGAGGGGUGAGGCUCGGCCCAGGAUCACACAGGAGAAUCUCCUCUGGAUGGGCUUGGGUUGGUCCUGGAGGCCCUGGCUGCACUGCUGACUGGCAUACCA